GAUGAAGAACGUAGCAAAAUGCGAUAAGUAAUGUGAAUUGCAGAAUUCAGUGAAUCAUCGAAUCUUUGAACGCACAUUGCGCCCGCCAGUACUCUGGCGGGCAUGCCUGUCCGAGCGUCAUUUCAACCCUCAGGGCCCUCCAGCAGGGCGCUGGUGUUGGGGAUCGGCAGUCCCAGCGGCUGCCGUCCCUGAAAUGUAGUGGCGGUCCCACCGUGACCUCCCCUGUGCAGUACAUCGCUCGCAGAGGGACAGCGGUGCGGCCACGCCGUAAAACGCCCAACUCUUCAAGGUUGACCUCGGAUCAGGUAGGACUACCCGCUGAACUUAAGCAUAUCAAUAAGCGAGGA
rnacentral:misc_RNA from 1 species